ACACACACACACACACACACACACACACCUCAACACACUCACUUCAAGGAAGCUCUCUUGCUUUAGUCUAUAGUUUAGAGGAGUUUAGGAGAAGUCUAGGAGUCAUCGAGUCCUCGGAGUUGCUUAGCAGUUCUGUGGUAGGUGACGUGCCCGUCGAUAGCGAGACGCCAGCGGUGACUUUGUCAAUAUCGAGGAUCUGCCGGCUCAGUCUCUUGGAAGUGCUCAUAGGGGGUGGAUAGCAUGUAUCUAUUUGUUGGGGUGAGUGUGCAUGCGUUUGUACUGUGUUUCUUAAAAAAAGAACGCACCAUGUUUUUGAAGAUCUGAUCGGGAAAUCAGACGGUAACCAUGCAUAUAUGCUAGCUGGCUGGGGCAUCUUGACAUUUAGUAGGUCUAUUAUCUAGGAUCUGUACGGUUAUCGAUCACAUAAGUAUAUUUACUUGGAUCCGCA